rnacentral:rRNA from 1 species
CCUAACACAUGCUCCUCGAACGAGAGAAAAAGGUCUAGUGGCGCACGGGUGCGUAACGCGUGGGAAUUUCCCCUUGGGUUCGGGAUAACAGUUGGAAACGACUGCUAAUACCGGAUGAUGACUUCGGUCCAAAGAUUUAUCGCCUUUGGAUGAGCCCGCGUUGGAUUAGCUAGUUGGUGGGGUAACGGCCUACCAAGGCGACGAUCCAUAGCUGAUCUGAGAGGAUGAUCAGCCACACUGGGACUGAGACACGGCCCAGACUCCUACGGGAGGCAGCAGUGGG